rnacentral:rRNA from 1 species
AGCGAACGCUGGCGGCAGGCCUAACACAUGCAAGUCGAACGAAGUCUUCGGACUUAGUGGCGGACGGGUGAGUAACACGUGGGAACGUACCUUUUGGUUCGGAACAACUCAGGGAAACUUGAGCUAAUACCGGAUGAGCCCUUAGGGGGAAAGAUUUAUCGCCGAAAGAGCGGCCCGCGUUAGAUUAGCUAGUUGGUGAGGUAAAGGCUCACCAAGGCUACGAUCUAUAGCUGGUCUGAGAGGAUGAUCAGCCACACUGGGACUGAGACACGGCCCAGACUCCUACGGGAGGCAGCAGUGGGGAAUCUUACGCAAUGGGCGAAAGCCUGACGCAGCCAUGCCGAGUGAAUGAUGAAGGUCUUAGGAUUGUAAAAUUCUUUUACCAGGGACGAUAAUGACGGUACCUGGAGAAAAAGCCCCGGCUAACUUCGUGCCAGCAGCCGCCGCAGUAA